AUGAACGCUAGCUACAGGCUUAACACAUGCAAGUCGAGGGGCAGCAUGGUCUUAGCUUGCUAAGGCCGAUGGCGACCGGCGCACGGGUGAGUAACACGUAUCCAACCUGCCGUCUACUCUUGGACAGCCUUCUGAAAGGAAGAUUAAUACAAGAUGGCAUCAUGAGUCCGCAUGUUCACAUGAUUAAAGGUAUUCCGGUAGACGAUGGGGAUGCGUUCCAUUAGAUAGUAGGCGGGGUAACGGCCCACCUAGUCUUCGAUGGAUAGGGGUUCUGAGAGGAAGGUCCCCCACAUUGGAACUGAGACACGGUCCAAACUCCUACGGGAGGCAGCAGUGAGGAAUAUUGGUCAAUGGGCGAGAGCCUGAACCAGCCAAGUAGCGUGAAGGAUGACUGCCCUAUGGGUUGUAAACUUCUUUUAUAAAGGAAUAAAGUCGGGUAUGCAUACCCGUUUGCAUGUACUUUAUGAAUAAGGAUCGGCUAACUCCGUGCCAGCAGCCGCGGUAAUACGGAGGAUCCGAGCGUUAUCCGGAUUUAUUGGGUUUAAAGGGAGCGUAGAUGGAUGUUUAAGUCAGUUGUGAAAGUUUGCGGCUCAACCGUAAAAUUGCAGUUGAUACUGGAUAUCUUGAGUGCAGUUGAGGCAGGCGGAAUUCGUGGUGUAGCGGUGAAAUGCUUAGAUAUCACGAAGAACUCCGAUUGCGAAGGCAGCCUGCUAAGCUGCAACUGACAUUGAGGCUCGAAAGUGUGGGUAUCAAACAGGAUUAGAUACCCUGGUAGUCCACACGGUAAACGAUGAAUACUCGCUGUUUGCGAUAUACGGCAAGCGGCCAAGCGAAAGCGUUAAGUAUUCCACCUGGGGAGUACGCCGGCAACGGUGAAACUCAAAGGAAUUGACGGGGGCCCGCACAAGCGGAGGAACAUGUGGUUUAAUUCGAUGAUACGCGAGGAACCUUACCCGGGCUUGAAAGUUACUGACGAUUCUGGAAACAGGAUUUCCCUUCGGGGCAGGAAACUAGGUGCUGCAUGGUUGUCGUCAGCUCGUGCCGUGAGGUGUCGGCUUAAGUGCCAUAACGAGCGCAACCCUUGUUGUCAGUUACUAACAGGUUCUGCUGAGGACUCUGACAAGGCUGCCAUCGUAAGAUGUGAGGAAGGUGGGGAUGACGUCAAAUCAGCACGGCCCUUACGUCCGGGGCUACACACGUGUUACAAUGGGGGGUACAGAGGGCCGCUACCACGCGAGUGGAUGCCAAUCCCAAAAACCUCUCUCAGUUCGGACUGGAGUCUGCAACCCGACUCCACGAAGCUGGAUUCGCUAGUAAUCGCGCAUCAGCCACGGCGCGGUGAAUACGUUCCCGGGCCUUGUACACACCGCCCGUCACACCAUGGGAGUCAGUAACGCCCGAAGUCAGUGACCUAACCGCAAGGAAGGAGCUGCCGAAGGCAGGACCGAUAACUGGGGUG
rnacentral:rRNA from 1 species